UAAAAGGUGUUUUGAUAUAAUUUUUUAGAUGUUGGGCGUGAAGGCAGAUGUUCUCUACUGUCAGAGGUUACUGGAAGAAGAAGGUGUGUGUUUGGGAGCGGGCUGUGAGAAUGGACGAGAGGAUCAGAACUAUCACAUCAGGCUCUGUGUUUUGGCUCCUCCUGACACCCUGGACCAGGUCUUGGCACGCCUCCGUUCUUUCCACCUGCACCUGCUGAGCAGAUUUCCCUGACAGAAAUGUCAAGGGCACAGACUCCUGGGAAAAAUACCAGACCAUACUUUAACUCUGACACCGUCUAAAAGUAUUUAAAAUCACAUCUAAUCACUUAUUAGACAUCACAAGAGGCGAUUUUCAACUUUAGGUAUUCUUCUGACUGUUCAAAAAUAAAGCAAUUAUUCCUGA